rnacentral:lncRNA from 1 species
UAUAAUUGAAAUCCUCUCACUCCAAGCGCGUAGCACUGCAAGGUGGGCAUUUGAUCUUGCUCAGUGAGACCAAAGAUGAAGAUCUCCAGCUGUUUGUCUCAAGAUUACCACGGACGGCAUGUUGAUUUGAUCAAAAACUCGUUUAUUCCUGGCUUUCCAAAUAUUCCAUAGAAUGCAGGUGACAAUCGUAGACCGAAGUGGCUGAUCAAGCUGCUGCAGAAGCUGACACUCGUUUAAGACUUUUCCUGUAGUCGUCAAGUGACAUGUACAUCCUCAGAGCUAGUACUAUGUUAUGUAUGCUACCUCUAAAUCACAAAGGCAAUGACACAGCCAUUAGAGGUAGCAACCAGCUGCAAUUGUUUGAGACGCUCUCAAUUAAGGGCCGGGGGAGUGUACAUGCGACGGCCAUGAAUGCCCACCCACAAGAAGCAGUUCAUGAUCACUGCUGCCACAAACCGAGUUAAUGGCGUAGGUAUACAAUGGAUGACAAGGUUGGAGCACUGUACGACGAUGGAGACUUUAAGGAGCGAGAGGCGCCAUCUAAGCCCAUCUCCUUGUACUACUGGCGCUUCGCCGUGAACUCAUCACGACCGAAUCGAAUGCCAUCUUCGUUCGCCGGCCGGGCUAGAUAGAUGCAAGCUCAGGGCUCAAGGGACACGCAUGAGCCCUGCUCCGCCGCCGUUAAUUCUCCAGCACAGAUCGAUCGCCAAUUCACCAUUGGCUGGAGGCCGCAUCUGCAUGCAUUAUUUAAUCGCAUAUAACUAUAGUCCAUACUCCAUAGUGACAUGCCUGAUGUGCAAACGUUUUCUAGCAUUUUUCUUAUCACAAUUGAUACGAUACGAAGCGUAGCGUAGCAUCAAUCAGCCAGCCUGCAUCUUCUUCUUGAAGCCCAACAAAGCUUCUGUGGGAUCUGGGAAGGGCAAGUACAUCUGCUACAACGCAGGUGUGUUUUAUUAGAGGCGCAGGCCUGCCAUGGCAGCAGGGAGAGAUCACACCACUACACAUCAGAAGCCAACAGACUUUGAUGACGGCUACGUACGCCGUAGCCAAUAGCCGCGGCGCGCGGCUCGGCUCCCGGCCGGCGUAAUGGCGCGCAGCAGGGGCAGCGGCCGGCCGGCCGGCCGGCCGCGCGCGGAGAGGGAACCUUAAAUGUGGGGGAGGAGGUGGAAGAGGGGGUUCCGAGCUGAGCCCAUUUAAGGGCACUCUACUUGCCACACCUUAAAUGCACCCUCACUGUGGCGUUGGAUGCAGCUCAUUUAUGGUGAACCCCCCUCCUCCUCGUCCCUCCUCCUCCUCCCCCGCUCCAUCACGGCCUCUAUAAAUUCAUGGGUAUCCAACAGCGGCAGGAUCCGGCAGCUUGUGUUGUAGAGGGAGCUUGCAGUAUAAAUAGAGACCACGCAGAGUCGCAGAGGAGCGGCAGGGAGUUGUUGCUUACGGGGGAGGAUUUGAG